ensembl:lncRNA
GUCCUUGUGGCAGGUGGCAGGGGAUGAGGGGCUCCCUUUUCUUGGGGAGCCUGGGCUGGAUGGGCUCUCCCAAGCCCAUCCCCGCCUGAAGUCCCCUCGCCUCCUUGCCGGCAGCGCUGCCUGGGCUCUGCCAACCCUGGCGGUAUGCCUUUAAGAAACAAAAAAUUAAUGCAAAGCUUAUUACCGGCCCGAUGGUUGCUAACGCUGCCUCUCUUCCACUGUCCAAGUGUCUGGAUUUCAGCUUCAGAUGAGUGUGGCCUGCUGGGACUUGGGCUGCCAGUUUAAUUAGUGCUCAGUAAUUUCAAUAAUGAGUGACAAUUCAUUGGGGCUUUUAGGUUGGUCUUCUGUUCAGAAGCAAAUCAAUAAUCCCCAGUUUUUCCCCUUCUUUAAAGACAAGAAAGUGGCAUGUGAGUUACAUCAGACGGAGAAAAUAAAUGAGGAAAAGCCCAGGUCCCUCAGUAACUGGAGAGGCAAUUGGCUUUAAUGGGCCGGGCGGCCUCCCCGGCUGGGGGAUGUUAUUGGAGGAGCAGAAAGGUCAUUAGGAGCGGGAAAGGGGCUCCCAGGAUCCUCCCAGCCAACACUUGGCCCUGCCUGUAACCAUAGUGAUUUGGGUAAAUGAACACAGGUAGACGGAUUACUCCCCGAAUCCCCAGGCUGCCCAGAUUAUUGCCUCUGAAGAUAGCAAAACAAUUGAGGCUAAUUGUAUGAGAGUGAGUUUAUUACAAACACAAAUGGAAAGGGGGAAGGAAGCAGCCAUAUUUAUUCUUUCCGCGAGCCCCCCUCGCCCUCCUCACCAUUUUCGCGUCUCCGCUGGCGCAGACUCUGGCCUCGCUUGGACCAAGGCUCUUCUCGGUGGCCAACAGUCCAACAGGAAGGAAUCCAGGCCUUUGGGGGGGAGGGGGUGGGGGCUGUGUUUGCUGGAAACCAGAAAGCUCUGUCUGAAGGCGGCCAUAGGCGGACGGUCCUCCUCCCUCUGCCAGAGCACUGAGGGCCUGUCAUGGCGGCCGCGUUGUGGGCGGGGGCACACACUGGAGGGCUUCAAAGCCCGGAGAGCCAUUUAUCUCGGACAAGGCUCUGCCCUCCGCGGUCAGCGGCUGAGAAAGUCUGUCCCUUCCGGUGGGCUCUCACGGUGUGCCCAACUGGCGGCUCUCUUUUGUCGCAGAUACAAAGGAGCCCGUCUGCAUAAGUUAAAACCCCCUACUAUAAAUAUGUUUUGGGCAGAGAGAGAGGAGAGAAGAGAAGAAGAAGAGAAGAGAAGAGAAGAGAAGAGAAGAGAAGAGAAGAGAAGAGAAGAGAAGAGAAGAGAAGAGAAGAGAAGAGAAGAGAAGAGAAGAGAAGAGAAGAGAAGAGAAGAGAAGAGAAGAGAAGAGAAGAGAAGAGAAGAGAAGAGAAGAGAAGAGAAGAGAAGAAGAGAGAAACCAAAGGAUCCUCUCAUUGGAGAAGUUAUAUCUAAAUUUAUCUAUGAAUCCCAAAGUGGGAGCUUUGGCCUCCCUCAUUGAACUCAGACAACUCUUUCAAUAUUAAAAGCUGAGAUUGGAAUAUCCAUGAGUCAGGUUACUGAAACACCUUAAAGUUUGUGAAACGCUCCCCUGGUCAUAAUUCUGGGCAGCAGGUAAUACAAGUGUUGUCAUUUCUGUUAUGUAGAUAAUAAGCCUUGUGCUCCAAAAGGUCAAGCGUCUUGCUCAAGACCACAUAACUAGUCAUUGGAUCAGGGAGUUUAUGAACUCAAGUCAUCCAACUCCAAGUCUAGUGUCUUCUCCACUACACAUUCUGACUCUCAUUGUAGUGAAAUUGGUAUUUGGGGUUUAUUUUUCAUUUGGUUGCCUUAUUAAAAAGCAUACCACAUAAUCUUUGACUACGUCUACCCUUUCCCAAUUAACAUAGAAAAAAUCAAUGUAUGAUCUCUAUUCAUUUGGAUGGAUCCACUAUGAAGAAUUUGGAGAAAGCAUCAUCAUAGCUGAGGAGCCUUGGAGUGACAAUCUUUCCCUUGCUGAUAGCACAAGGACAUAUAGAAACACUGAAACAAAAGCGAUUGAGAAGAGGUACCUUGGAGAGAGGCAUCAGGGUGAAUCCUGAAGGGCAAUGACAUCCUGGCUUCAGACCCCACUCUGUCAGUUCAUGUACCUUCAGUACAUGAACUCUAUGGGCCAACCCUGACCCAUGACUGAUGUCUUGGACUUCAAAGCCAAAUCUGUGCUACUGACUUGGGGCAGCCAGGUGUGACAGUGUAUAGUAUAGGGUCUGCAGUCAGGAAAACUCAUCUUCUAGAGUUCUAACCAGGCGACUCUCAGUAAAUCAUUUAAUACUGUUUGCCUCAGUUUCCUCAUCUGUAAAAAUGAGCUGGACAAGGAAAUAACAGACUCCAGCCCCCCCACUCCUCCCAGUAUCUUCCCCAAAGAGACCACAGAGUAGGGCAUGACUGAGAAAAGCCUAAACAAAUAUAACAGCUGUUGGCUUGUCCUGAAACUUCCUUCAGCUCCUGGGGCUUCGUUCCCCUGA